GAUGAACGCUGGCGGCGUGCCUAAUACAUGCAAGUCGAGCGAACAGACGAUGAGCUUGCUCCUCUGACGUUAGCGGCGGACGGGUGAGUAACACGUGGAUAACCUACCUAUAAGACUGGGAUAACUUCGUGAAACCGGAGCUAAUACCGGAUAAUUUAUUGAACCGCAUGGUUCAAUAGUGAAAGACGGUUUUGCUGUCACUUCUAGAUGGAUCCGCGCCGGAUUAGCUGGUUGGUAAGGUAACGGCUUACCAAGGCAGCCAUGCGUAGCCGACCUGAGAGGGUGUACGGGCACACUGGGACUGAGACACGGUCCAGACUCCUACGGAAGGCAGCAGUAGGGAAUCUUCCGCAAUGGGCGAAAGCUUGACGGAGCAACGCCGCGUGAGUGAUGAAGGUCUUCGGAUCGUAAAACUCUGUUAUUAGUGAAGAACAAAUGUGUAAGUAACUAUGCACGUCUUGACGGUACCUAAUCAGAAAGCCACGGCUAACUACGUG
rnacentral:rRNA from 1 species